AUGGCUCAGGAUGAACGCUAGCGACAGGCUUAACACAUGCAAGUCGAGGGGCAGCAUAAAAGUAGCAAUACGUUGGUGGCGACCGGCGCACGGGUGAGUAACGCGUAUGCAACCUACCUAUCAGAGGGGAAUAACCCGGCGAAAGUCGGACUAAUACCGCAUAAAACAGGGGCACCGCAUGGUGAUAUUUGUUAAAGAAAUUCGCUGAUAGAUGGGCAUGCGUUCCAUUAGGUAGUUGGUGAGGUAACGGCUCACCAAGCCGACGAUGGAUAGGGGAACUGAGAGGUUGGUCCCCCACACUGGUACUGAGACACGGACCAGACUCCUACGGGAGGCAGCAGUGAGGAAUAUUGGUCAAUGGGCGGGAGCCUGAACCAGCCAAGUCGCGUGAAAGGAAGAAGGAUCUAUGGUUCGUAAACUUCUUUUGCAGGGGAAUAAAGUGCAGGACGUGUCCUGUUUUGUAUGUACCCUGAGAAUAAGGAUCGGCUAACUCCGUGCCAGCAGCGGC
rnacentral:rRNA from 1 species